rnacentral:rRNA from 1 species
ACAUCAUCUAACCCAAAAUAAACGUAAUUUAACCUGACUAAACCAUUUUUUCCCCUUAGUAUAGGCGAUAGAAAAGGGACCCACGGGAGCAAUAGACAGAAGUACCGCGAGGGAACGCUGAAAGAGAUAUGAAAAAGACCAGUAAAGCCAUAAAAAGCAGAGACUAAUCCUCGUACCUUUUGCAUCAUGAUUUAGCUAGCAUUUUUUAAGCAAAGAGAACUUUAGUUUAAACCCCCGAAACCAAGUGAGCUACUCCAAGACAGCCUUAACAUAGGGCAAACCCGUCUCUGUGGCAAAAGAGUGGGAAGAGCUUUGAGUAGCGGUGACAGACCUAUCGAACCUGGUUAUAGCUGGUUGCCUAAAAACUGAAUAGGAGUUCAGCCUUAAAGAUUCUUAAGUCAAACUACUUUAAUUUUACUUUUAAUUUAUUUCACUUCUACCGACGUGCUUUAAAGAAACUUUGAGAGUUAGUCAAAGGGGGUACAGCUCCUUUGACCCGAGAUACAACUCUUCCAGAAGGGUAAAGAUCAAAAUACUAAAGGUAAUAAUGUUCCGGUGGGCCUAAGAGCAGCCAUCCACUCAGAAAGCGUUCAAGCUCGAACACACUCUUACCCCUUUUAUCCUGAUAAUUAUAUCCCAUCCCCCUAAUCUUAUUAGGCCGCCCCAUGCCUCCAUGGGUGUGACCAUGCUAAUAUGAGUAAUAAGAGGGCCUACGCCCCUCUCCCUGCACACGUGUACAUCGGAGCGAACCCCCACCGAAAAUUAACCGGCCCCAAAUAAAGAGGGCAGUUGGUACCGAAUUGAGAAAACUAGAAAAUUACCCACAAACAAUACCGUUAACCCCACACCGGUGUGCAACUUAAGGAAAGACUAAAAGGAAAAGAAGGAACUCGGCAAAACUAAACAGCUAGCAACCAGCAAUCAUGCUAACUAGCUAAAUUUUAAGCCUCGCCUGUUUACCAAAAACAUCGCCUCUUGCAACACGAAGUAUAAGAGGUCCUGCCUGCCCAGUGACAACUAGGUUCAACGGCCGCGGUAUUUUAACCGUGCUAAGGUAGCGAAAUCAUUUGUCUUUUAAAUGAAGACCUGUAUGAAUGGCAAGACGAGGGCUGAACUGUCUCCUUUUCCAAGUCAAUGAAAUUGAUCUCUCCGUGCAGAAGCGGGGAUAUCCACAUAAGACGAGAAGACCCUAUGGAGCUUUAGACGCAAGGCAGACUACGUCACUUAUCCCCUAAUAAAGAGAUCAAAACCAAGAGACCCCUGUUCUUACGUCUUCGGUUGGGGCGACCAUGGGGAAGCAAAAACCCCCCAAGUGGACUGGGAGCAUUUUACUACUAUCUUCUUCUCCUUCCUCCCAAAAUCAAGAGCCACAGCUCUAAUUAGCAGAAUUUCUGACCAAGAAUGACCCGGCAAUGCCGAUCAACGGACCAAGUUACCCUAGGGAUAACAGCGCAAUCCUCUUUUAGAGCCCAUAUCGACAAGAGGGUUUACGACCUCGAUGUUGGAUCAGGACAUCCUAAUGGUGCAGCCGCUAUUAAGGGUUCGUUUGUUCAACGAUUAAAGUCCUACGUGAUCUGAGUUCAGACCGGAGUAAUCCAGGUCAGUUUCUAUCUAUGACAAAAUCUUUUCCAGUACGAAAGGACCGAAAAGAAGAGGCCCCUGCCCAAGGUACGCCUCACUCCCACCUAACGAAACAAUCUCAACUAGGCAAGGGAGAACGCCCCCCAUGUCAAAGAGAUUGACAU